rnacentral:rRNA from 1 species
UCAAGUAAUUAAGUGCAUGUGGUGGAUGCCUUGGCAGUCAGAGGCGAUGAAAGACGUGAUAGCCUGCGAAAAGCUCCGGGGAGGCGGCAAAUAUCCUUUGAUCCGGAGAUGUCUGAAUGGGGGAACCCACCUACUUUAAGGUAGGUAUUGCAACAUGAAUACAUAGUGUUGCAAGGCGAACGAGGGGAAGUGAAACAUCUCAGUACCCUUAGGAAAAGAAAUCAAUUGAGAUUCCCUCAGUAGCGGCGAGCGAACGGGGAUCAGCCCAUUAAGUUAUGUGUGUUUUAGUGGAACGCUCUGGGAAGUGCGAACGUAGAGGGUGAUAUUCCCGUACACGAAAGGGCACACAUAAUGAUGACGAGUAGGGCGAGGCACGUGAAACCUUGUCUGAAUAUGGGGGGACCAUCCUCCAAGGCUAAAUACUCCUGACUGACCGAUAGUGAACCAGUACCGUGAGGGAAAGGCGAAAAGAACCCCUGUGAGGGGAGUGAAAUAGAUCCUGAAACCGCAUGCAUACAAGCAGUGGGAGCACCUUCGUGGUGUGACUGCGUACCUUUUGUAUAAUGGGUCAGCGACUUAUAUUCAGUAGCGAGGUUAACCGUAUAGGGGAGCCGUAGAGAAAUCGAGUCUUAAUAGGGCGUUUAGUUGCUGGGUAUAGACCCGAAACCAGGCGAUCUAUCCAUGAGCAGGUUGAAGGUUGGGUAACACUAACUGGAGGACCGAACCCACUGUCGUUGAAAAGCCAGGGGAUGACUUGUGGAUAGGGGUGAAAGGCUAAUCAAGCCUGGUGAUAGCUGGUUCUCCCCGAAAGCUAUUUAGGUAGCGCCUCGGACGAAUACCAUAGGGGGUAGAGCACUGUUUCGGCUAGGGGGUCAUCCCGACUUACCAAACCGAUGCAAACUCCGAAUACCUAUGAGUACUAUCCGGGAGACAGACUGCGGGUGCUAACGUCCGUAGUCAAGAGGAAAACAAUCCAGACCGCCAGCUAAGGCCCCAAAAUCAUAGUUAAGUGGGAAACGAUGUGGGAAGGCAUAGACAGCUAGGAGGUUGGCUUAGAAGCAGCCACCCUUUAAAGAAAGCGUAAUAGCUCACUAGUCGAGUCGGCCUGCGCGGAAGAUGUAACGGGGCUAAAACUAUGUGCCGAAGCUGCGGAUGUAUACUUUGUAUACGUGGUAGGGGAGCGUUCUGUAAGCCGAUGAAGGUGUGUUGAGAAGCAUGCUGGAGGUAUCAGAAGUGCGAAUGCUGACGUGAGUAACGACAAAACGGGUGAAAAACCCGUUCGCCGAAAGACCAAGGGUUCCAGUCCAACGUUAAUCGGGGCUGGGUGAGUCGACCCCUAAGGCGAGGCCGAAAGGCGUAGUCGAUGGGAAAAUGGUUAAUAUUCCAUUACUUCUGUGUAAUGCGAUGAGAGGACGGAGAAGGCUAAAUCAGCCUGGCGUUGGUUGUCCAGGUGAAAGGAUGUAGGCAUGUAUCUUAGGCAAAUCCGGGGUACUCUAUGCUGAGAUCUGAUAGCAAGCUGUACUUGUACAGCGAAGUGGUUGAUGCCAUGCUUCCAGGAAAAGUCUCUAAGCUUCAGUUACACAGGAAUCGUACCCGAAACCGACACAGGUGGUCAGGUCGAGUAGACCAAGGCGCUUGAGAGAACUCUGCUGAAGGAACUAGGCAAAAUGGUACCGUAACUUCGGGAGAAGGUACGCUGUUGUUGGUGAUGGAACUCGCUUCCUGAGCUGACGACAGCCGCAGAAACCAGGCCGCUGCAACUGUUUAUUAAAAACAUAGCACUCUGCAAACACGAAAGUGGACGUAUAGGGUGUGAUGCCUGCCCGGUGCUGGAAGGUUAAUUGAUGGGGUUAGCGUAAGCGAAGCUCUUGAUCGAAGCCCCAGUAAACGGCGGCCGUAACUAUAACGGUCCUAAGGUAGCGAAAUUCCUUGUCGGGUAAGUUCCGACCUGCACGAAUGGCAUAAUGAUGGCGGCGCUGUCUCCAGCAGAGGCUCAGUGAAAUCGAAAUCGCUGUGAAGAUGCAGUGUACCCGCGGCUAGACGGAAAGACCCCGUGAACCUUUACUGCAGCUUGACACUGAACUUUGACCUUACUUGUGUAGGAUAGGUGGGAGGCUUUGAAGCUGGAACGCUAGUUCCAGUGGAGCCGUCCUUGAAAUACCACCCUGGUAAUGUUGAGGUUCUAACUCUGUCCCGUGAUCCGGGACGAGGACCGUGUCUGGUGGGUAGUUUGACUGGGGCGGUCUCCUCCUAAAGAGUAACGGAGGAGUACGAAGGUGCGCUCAGCGUGGUCGGAAAUCACGCGUAGAGUAUAAAGGCAAAAGCGCGCUUAACUGCGAGACCCACAAGUCGAGCAGGUACGAAAGUAGGUCUUAGUGAUCCGGUGGUUCUGUAUGGAAGGGCCAUCGCUCAACGGAUAAAAGGUACUCUGGGGAUAACAGGCUGAUACCGCCCAAGAGUUCAUAUCGACGGCGGUGUUUGGCACCUCGAUGUCGGCUCAUCUCAUCCUGGGGCUGAAGCAGGUCCCAAGGGUAUGGCUGUUCGCCAUUUAAAGAGGUACGCGAGCUGGGUUUAGAACGUCGUGAGACAGUUCGGUCCCUAUCUACCGUGGGCGCUGGAAAUUUGAGAGGAUCUGCUCCUAGUACGAGAGGACCAGAGUGGACGAACCUCUGGUGUACCGGUUGUGACGCCAGUCGCAUCGCCGGGUAGCUAUGUUCGGAAGGGAUAACCGCUGAAAGCAUCUAAGCGGGAAGCCUACCUCAAGAUAAGAUUUCCCUAGGACUUUAUGUCCUCUAAAGAGCCGUUCGAGACUAGGACGUUGAUAGGUUGGAUGUGGAAGCAUAGUGAUAUGUGAAGCU